GAUAACAGCGUAAUUUUUUUUUUUAGUUCAAAUAGGAAAAAAAGUUUGCGACCUCGAUGUUGGAUUAAGAUAAAAUUUAAAUGCAAAAGUUUAAAAUUUUGAUCUGUUCGAUCAUUAAAAUCUUACAUGAUCUGAGUUCAAACCGGUGUGAGCCAGGUU
rnacentral:ncRNA from 1 species